CGGUCCAGACUCCUACGGGAGGCAGCAGUGGGGAAUAUUGCACAAUGGGCGCAAGCCUGAUGCAGCCAUGCCGCGUGUGUGAAGAAGGCCUUCGGGUUGUAAAGCACUUUCAGCGGGGAGGAAGGCGGUGAGGUUAAUAACCUUGUCGAUUGACGUUACCCGCAGAAGAAGCACCGGCUAACUCCGUGCCAGCAGCCGCGGUAAUACGGAGGGUGCAAGCGUUAAUCGGAAUUACUGGGCGUAAAGCGCACGCAGGC
rnacentral:rRNA from 1 species